rnacentral:rRNA from 1 species
UGGGGAAUUUUGGACAAUGGGGGAAACCCUGAUCCAGCCAUCCCGCGUGUGCGAUGAAGGCCUUCGGGUUGUAUAGCACUUUUGGCAGGAAAGAAACGUCAUGGGUUAAUACCCCGUGAAACUGACGGUACCUGCAGAAUAAGCACCGGCUAACUACGUGCCAGCAGCCGCGGUAAUACGUAGGGUGCAAGCGUUAAUCGGAAUUACUGGGCGUAAAGCGUGCGCAGGCGGUUCGGAAAGAAAGAUGUGAAAUCCCAGAGCUCAACUUUGGAACUGCAUUUUUAACUACCGGGCUAGAGUGUGUCAGAGGGAGGUGGAAUUCCGCGUGUAGCAGUGAAAUGCGUAGAUAUGCGGAGGAACACCGAUGGCGAAGGCAGCCUCCUGGGAUAACACUGACGCUCAUGCACGAAAGCGUGGGGAGCAAACAGG